rnacentral:siRNA from 1 species
UGGAAAGAGACAUUGUAGG